rnacentral:rRNA from 1 species
UCCGGUGAUUAUGGCACAGGGGAAACACCCGUUCCCAUUUCGAACACGGCAGUUAAGCCCUGUUGCGCCGAUGGUACUGCGCGGGAGACUAGCGUGGGAGAGUAGGUCGUUGCCGGGA